UACGUAGGUGGCAAGCGUUGUCCGGAUUUACUGGGCGUAAAGAGCGCGCAGGCGGUCGUAUAAGUCGAAUGUGAAAGCCCCCGGCUCAACUGGGGAGGGUCAUUCGAUACUGUUCGACUCGAAGGCAGGAGAGGGAAGUGGAAUUCCGGGUGUAGUGGUGAAAUGCGUAGAUAUCCGGAGGAACACCAGUGGCGAAGGCGGCUCACUGGCUCAUUACUGACGCUCAGGCGCGACAGCGUGGGGAUCAAACAGG
rnacentral:rRNA from 1 species